GGACAGAGAGGGCCAACAGGUCCCAGAGGGCAGAGAGGACCCCGUGGGGCAACAGGAAAAUCAGGUGCUAAGGGCGGAUCAGGUAGUGACGGGCCUCCUG